rnacentral:rRNA from 1 species
ACGACGCUGGCGGCGUGCUUAAUACAUGCAAGUCAACUUGACUUUAGAUAGCAAUAUCGAAAGUAGGGUGGCGCACGGGUGCGUAACGCGUAGGUAAUCUGCCCUGAGGUCUGACAUAACCCGUCGAAAGGCGGGCUAACAUCAGAUGAUAUAUAAUCACGACAUCGUGGAAAUACCAAAUCUUCGGAGCCUUGGGAUGAGCCUGCGUCUGAUUAGGUAGUUGGCGGAGUAAUAGCCCACCAAGCCUACGAUCAGUAGCUGGUCUGAGAGGAUGAUCAGCCACACUGGAACUGAGACACGGUCCAGACUCCUACGGGAGGCAGCAGUAAGGAAUAUUGCUCAAUGGGGGGAAACCCUGAAGCAGCAACGCCGCGUGAAGGAUGAAAUACUUUGUAUGUAAACUUCUGUAAGAUGGGAAAAAUAUUCUCCUCGGGAGAAUUGAUUGUACCAUCAGAGUAAGCCCCGGCUAACUACGUG